UACAGAGGUCCCAAGCGUUGUUCGGAUUCAUUGGGCGUAAAGGGUGUGUAGGUGGCGCCGUAAGUCGGGUGUGAAAUCUCGGGGCUUAACUCCGAAACUGCAUUCGAUACUGCGGUGCUUGAGGACUGGAGAGGAGACUGGAAUUCAUGGUGUAGCAGUGAAAUGCGUAGAGAUCAUGAGGAAGACCAGUGGCGAAGGCGGGUCUCUGGACAGUCCCUGACGCUGAGGCACGAAGGUCAGGGGAGCAAACGGG
rnacentral:rRNA from 1 species